rnacentral:rRNA from 1 species
GUUAGUUCUGGGCUUGUGGCCGCGUGAGUCGGGAGGUUGCAUGCUUUAUCCGGAUUUAUUGGGUUUAAAGGGUCCGUAGGCGGGCUGGUAAGUCAGUGGUGAAAUCUCACAGCUUAACUGUGAAACUGCCAUUGAUACUGCAGGUCUUGAGUAAGGUAGAAGUAGCUGGAAUAAGUAGUGUAGCGGUGAAAUGCAUAGAUAUUACUUAGAACACCAAUUGCGAAGGCAGGUUACUAUGUCUUAACUGACGCUGAUGGACGAAAGCGUGGGGAGCGAACAGGAUUAGAUACCCGGGUAGUC